UUAUAAUUAUUUUGUGUGAAAAUUUAUUGCGACUUUUUUGAUGAAGCCGGGAAUUACCCACACGUUUUGGCACAAUAAAUAAUAUUUUAACGCCCAACACAUGUCAAACUGGCAGCUCCCCCCGCUCCACACCCCCCUGUGAACCGCUCUUAUGCUAAAUUUUUCCACGUUUCGCUGAUAAGGUUUCGUUUUAUGAAUAGACGAGAGCAGUGUGCACCACAUGCUGGCCCGCGACUGUUUGGCGAUCGGUCAACUGUAAGCGUGCUCUCUUUUGCUCUCCCGCUCUCUGUAUGUCUCUCUUUUGCUCCAUGUAGCAUAAAAAGCGUUUUACUCUCAGCUGAAUGUGAGGAAUGCCGGAGAGCCGGGGAGGUGAGCGCGGGACCAAUGACCGCAUUGAGCUAUAAAUAGCAGCAGCAGCAACAACAUCCACAACAACAACAACAACAUCGCUGGAGUGUACCACUCGGUAGUCCCAUAAUGAGAUAAGGCCUGCCCCGAAAUUGCGAUGAAACUUGGAAGAAAGCCCAUAAAAAAUAUACAUAUGUACAUAUGUAUGUAUGUAUUUUUCGAUACCUUCUCAUUGGAUUUAUUUGAUUUAAUUCAAAGAACUUUAGACUGUACUUUAGACAAUAAAAUACAGAAAAUACUCUUCCAUUGGCACAGGCUUUUCCCUAUUGUUCCAUCUCCCUGUGCCCUAUAAAUAUCCCCUUUUAUCAAUGGGUAGCAAAUGAGUGCAACUAAAAUUCCACGAAGAUAUCUAUGACAAGGCGAAAACUGCGAUAAAGCCUCCAGUUAUCGGACGUGUCAUGUGCCGGGGUCCGGGCCCGGGCCUGGCACUUAAUUAAAACCGAAAUCAGCUAGGCAAACAGCAAUUGUUAUUACACAUAUGUACAUACAUAUGUACAUAGAUACUACACACAAAGACACAUACUACAUAUAUAUUUUUUGGGGGUUAACUGAAUUUCGCAAUUUAACACUUUUUUGGGGACCGCAUUCUAAUGGGAAACUCAAAUAAAAUAAAAUGCGAAGCGGAGGUAUAAAAAAAUGUUUACACAACAAACAAAACGGCGACGCAGACGAAGAGUACAGGAAACGCCUCUAAAACCGGCAGAGACAAAAAAAAAACAAAAACAAAACACUU
rnacentral:sRNA from 1 species